rnacentral:rRNA from 1 species
AGACGAACCGUGCAAACGUUGUUCGGAAUCACUGGGCUUAAAGGGUGCGUAGGCGGCCUAGCAAGUCGGGUGUGAAAUCCCUCGGCUCAACCGAGGAACUGCGCCCGAAACUGCUUGGCUCGAGGGAGAUAGGGGCGCGUGGAACUUCGGGUGGAGCGGUGAAAUGCGUUGAGAUCCGAAGGAACGCCGGUGGCGAAAGCGACGCGCUGGGUCUCUUCUGACGCUGAGGCACGAAAGCUAGGGGAGCGAACGGGAUUAGAAACCCCAGUAGUCC